rfam:Myotis lucifugus cont2.12364, whole genome shotgun sequence.
UGCAGUUCUCGGGUGACACACCUGGAACCAGAGAGGAGGGAGCCUGAUUCCAGGGUGCAUCACCUGAGAACUGCC